rnacentral:rRNA from 1 species
CCUACGGGAGGCUGCAGUGAGGAAUAUUGGACAAUGGGCGCAAGCCUGAUCCAGCGACGCCGCGUGAGUGAUGAAGGCCUUUGGGUCGUAAAGCUCUGUCAGCAGGGAAGAACGGCCGUGCGGUUAAUACCCGUGCGGAUUGACGGUACCUGCAGAGGAAGCACCGGCUAACUCCGUGCCAGCAGCCGCGGUAAUACGGAGGGUGCGAGCGUUAAUCGGAAUUACUGGGCGUAAAGGGCGCGUAGGCGGCUGAUCAAGUCAGGUGUGAAAGCCCGGGGCUCAACCCUGGACGUGCAUUUGAAACAGCAAGACUUGAGUACGGGAGAGGAAAGCGGAAUUCCUGGUGUAGAGGUGAAAUUCGUAGAUAUCGGGAGGAAUACCGGUGGCGAAGGCGACUUUCUGGACGAAUACUGACGCUGAGGCGCGAAAGCGUGGGGAGCAAACAGGAUUAGAUACCCUGGUAGUC